CUGAAGUUUGAAAGGUUAAUCAAUGUCUGCUCACGUAUCGGAGGAGCAGAUGCACUCAACGCUGCCUCUCUGUGAUUAAACCGGCUCGCCGCUUCUGCCUUUCUUCACUUGAACAUGCAAUCUUCUUAGCAUCAGGAACCAGAACGGCCUCGGCACUUCACCCCUUUCAUUUACGCAUGUAUUUAGAAAACAACACCAGAAAGCCUUCCCCCUGCAUCGCUUCCAGGCCUGGACAAUCUGCACCUCCGUUACGGAGGGCUCUUCAGGCUGUCUGGCAGGGCGGAAAGCUCUUGCUUGCCUGGAGCCGGGCCUACGAUCAGGCUGCAACGUCCAGCUUACUACAACUCACCAGCACCUUCUCUCGCCAAGAGGUUUCGCAUCAAACCUGCGUUGGGACACAGUCUGCGUGAUGCAAUUUCCACCUGCCUGCGAGGGAGCAAUGCUGGCUAAAUCUAGUUAAACUCUGCGAGCAUGCAACCAAGCAGGCGUUUGGACGCAGGGACAGAAAGCGUGAAGGAUACCGAGUUAGCCCUUUCUGGCUGUCCGCACGUCUGCCGUUAUGUCUGGAAACCGAAUAUUUUAGCGCAUGUGAGCCUUUUAAGGAGGAGUUUUGGUUUAAGAAAACAUUAUUUGUGUGGAUUUGCUGGCCUGUUCUCUGAGUCCUUGUAGUUGGAGCUUCUCUUCACUGAAAACCCUGGGUGACACAGUCUAGUCCAUUUUCUUGUCAGCAACCCAAUUUUUAAAUGGAUUAUUUUUGCUACCUCAGCCAUUGUUAAAAUAUCUCCAAAAUUUUUGUGUUUUUCUGCCCUUGGGAGAGCAGCUCAUCAUUAUCAUUCAUGUUUGGGUGUUUGCUAAUUACUGCAGCUAAACUGCAAGUGUUGAAAAAAAAGUAAUUGCAGUUACGGACUUAAUGGAUUGGCAGUGAUGGUGGCAUUAGUAGUUCAAGUUGGGAGGAAGGACACAUUCUGUGAAAAUUCAAAAAUGAGAAAAGGCUUCUUUUUUUUUUUUUAAUUCAGCAUUUUAAUAUUCUUUUAAAAUCUGAAUAAAUAUUGACAUUCCAUUAAGUUGCUUGACUUCCUGACCAUUUUCAACAUUCACGGGCCAGAAGAGUCCUGGCCAAAACUGGGAGGGGUCGGUAACCCCUGUCCCAGCGCAGCUGUAUCUAGAACGAGCCACAUGGUGGGUCGUCUGUGGUGGCUUCCAGCUCAAGAU